UUUUCAGUGUCGCAGCGAAAGCAAUAAACACACCGCCUGGGGAGUACGACCGCAAGGUUAAAACUCAAAUGAAUUGACGGGGACCCGCACAAGUAGUGGAGCAUGUGGUUUAAUUCGAAGAUACGCGCAGAACCUUACCAACACUUGACAUGUUCGUCGCGACUCUAAGAGAUUAGAGUUUUCGGUUCGGCCGGACGAAACACAGGUGCUGCAUGGCUGUCGUCAGCUCGUGUCGUGAGAUGUUGGGUUAAGUCCCGCAACGAGCGCAACCCUCACUUUUAGUUGCCAUCAUUAAGUUGGGCACUCUGAAAGAACUGCCAGUGAUAAGCUGGAGGAAGGUGGGGAUGACGUCAAGUCCUCAUGGCCCUUAUGUGUUGGGCUACACACGUGCUACAAUGGUAUCUACAACAGGAUGCAAGAUGGCAACAUUAAGCAAAUCCUAAAAAGAUACCUCAGUUCGGAUUGCACUCUGCAACUCGAGUGCAUGAAGCUGGAAUUACUAGUAAUCGUGGAUCAGCGUGCCACGGUGAAUACGUUCCCGGGUCUUGUACACACCGCCCGUCACACCAUGGGAGUUGGUUCUACCUUAAGGCAAAGUUUAAAACCUUUGACCACGGUAUAGUCAGCGACUGGGGUGAAGUCGUAACAAGGUAGCCGUAGGGGAACCUGCGGCUGGAUUACCUCCUU
rnacentral:rRNA from 1 species